GAUGAACGCUAGCGGCAGGCUUAAUACAUGCAAGUCAAGGGGGUAGCAAUACAACCGGCGCACGGGUGAGUAACGCGUACACAACAUACCAUAUACUGGAGUAUAGCUUUGGGAAACUGAAGGUAAUCCUCCAUAACAUUGCGAGAGGGCAUCUGAUUGCAAUUAAAGUUUCGGCGGUAUAUGAUUGGUGUGCGUUUGAUUAGCUAGUUGGUAGGGUAACGGCCUACCAAGGCGACGAUCAAUAGCUGGCGUGAGAGCGCGACCAGCCACACUGGAACUGAGACACGGUCCAGACUCCUACGGGAGGCAGCAGUAGGGAAUAUUGGACAAUGGAGGAAACUCUGAUCCAGCCAUGCCGCGUGAUAGAUGAAGGCCCUCUGGGUUGUAAAUAUCUUUUAUCUGGGAAGAAACACUCCUAUUCUUAGGAACUUGACGGUACCAGAGGAAUAAGCACGGCUAACUCCGUGCCAGCAGCCGCGGU
rnacentral:rRNA from 1 species